GACGAACGCUGGCGGCGCGCUUAACACAUGCAAGUCGAGCGAGAACCUGGCUUCGGCCAGGGGAAAGCGGCGAACGGGUGAGUAACACGUGGGCAACCCACCCUUGGUAUCCGGAUAGCCCGGGGAAACUCGGAUUAAUACGGAAUGGCCCAACAGCUCUUCGGGGCGGUUGGAAAAGGUAGCUUCGGCCUCCGACCAAGGACGGGCCCGCGGUGGAUUAGCUUGUUGGUGAGGUAACGGCCCACCAAGGCGACGAUCCAUAGCUGGUCUGAGAGGACGAUCAGCCACACUGGGACUGAGACACGGCCCAGACUCCUACGGGAGGCAGCAGUGGGGAAUAUUGCACAAUGGGCGCAAGCCUGAUGCAGCGACGCCGCGUGGGGAUGACGGCCUC
rnacentral:rRNA from 1 species